rfam:Myotis lucifugus cont2.9183, whole genome shotgun sequence.
GGUGGUUCUCGGUGACACCCCAGAAUUGGGCUCCCCCGUCUCUAGUUCCAGGGUGUGUCACCCAAGAACUGCC